UAGGGAAUCUUCCACAAUGGACGCAAGUCUGAUGGAGCAACGCCGCGUGAGUGAAGAAGGUUUUCGGCUCGUAAAGCUCUGCUGGUAGUGAAGAAAGAUAGAGGUAGUAACUGGCCUUUAUUUGACGGUAAUUACUUAGAAAGUCACGGCUAACUACGUG
rnacentral:rRNA from 1 species